ACAUGCCUACAACAUAGCGUUAGUGCACUGAAUCUCAUUAUAAAUCCACAGUUAAGCACGCUAAGGCUAGAGUAGUACUGGGAUGGGUGACCUCCCGAGAACUCCUAGUGUUUUACAUGCC
rnacentral:rRNA from 1 species